rnacentral:rRNA from 1 species
AGUGAACGCUGGCGGUAGGCCUAACACAUGCAAGUCGAACGGCAGCACAGGAGAGCUUGCUCUCUGGGUGGCGAGUGGCGGACGGGUGAGGAAUACGUCGGAAUCUACCUUGUCGUGGGGGAUAACGUAGGGAAACUUACGCUAAUACCGCAUACGACCUUCGGGUGAAAGUGGGGGACCGCAAGGCCUCACGCGAUUAGAUGAGCCGAUGUCGGAUUAGCUAGUUGGCGGGGUAAAAGCCCACCAAGGCGACGAUCCGUAGCUGGUCUGGGAGGAUGAUCAGCCACACUGGAACUGAGACACGGUCCAGACUCCUACGGGAGGCAGCAGUGGGGAAUAUUGGACAAUGGGCGCGAGCCUGAUCCAGCCAUACCGCGUGGGUGAAGAAGGCCUUCGGGUUGUAAAGCCCUUUUGUUGGGAAAGAAAUCUUGCCGGUUAAUACCUGGCGAGGAUGACGGUACCCAAAGAAUAAGCACCGGCUAACUUCGUGCCAGCAGCCGCCGCCGUAA